UACGUAGGGGGCUAGCGUUGUCCGGAAUCAUUGGGCGUAAAGCGCGCGUAGGCGGUCAGGUAAGUCCGGUGUGAAAGUCAAAGGCUCAACCUUUGAAUGCCGCUGGAUACUGCCUGACUUGAGUCCGGAAGGGGCGAGUGGAAUUCCUGGUGUAGCGGUGAAAUGCGCAGAUAUCAGGAAGAACACCAAUGGCGAAAGCAGCUGGCUACACAAAUAUUGACACUGAGGCACGAAAGCGUGGGGAUCAAACAGG
rnacentral:rRNA from 1 species